GUUGAAGUUUGUUCUAUUCCUAUAGUUGACAUCAGCCAUCAAUAUAUCCUGUAAGGAUAGAAGAAUCUUGAGUGAAUGUGGAGGCCGGUCUGUCACCAGAGGAACACACAGUGCAAUAUGCCAAAAAGUGCGCGCUGAAAAGAAAGCAUUGCCAAGACAGGUCCCAGCUGCCAUCAACAAAGAGAAGGCGUCUGUUUUUGAAGCAAGAUCGAUGUGUAACACAGGCAGCUCAUGAAGCACUCGAAGGUGCAUCAUAUCAGUCAGGCAUUGGACACGAGGACCAUGUUGACAUGGAAAAGCUGCCCAAUCCUGUUCCACGGGGAGUGUUUAAUCCAGUGACAGUGCCAUCAGGGUCACCCUCCUAUGUCAUCUUUGACCUAGAAACAACUGAUCUCAUACGUGGGGGACAAAUGCCUCACAUCACUCAACUGGCAGCCAUUGAACUGUCCUCUGGCCAAACCUUCAACUGCUACAUCCGCCCGUAGAUUCCCAACUCGGACAAUGUACAGCAGGUGACAGGCACAACCAUGGUCACUGACAGGGAAAUGAUGGUGGAUGGUAGACCUGUGACCCCAAGUUCAUGGAAAUCAGCCUCCAUCAACUUCCUUAACUGGCUCAAGAAGCAUGAAAACGCAUUUCUUGUUGCUAACAAUGAGAGGCGUUUUGAUUUUCCAGUCAUAAUUUCUGCCUAUACUAAUGUUCAUCAGUGUGAUUGUUUGCUGGAACAUACACAAGGAAUGCUUGAUUCAUUGCCCUUAUUCAGG